rnacentral:rRNA from 1 species
AUUGAACGCUGGCGGAAUGCUUUACACAUGCAAGUCGAACGGCAGCACGGGGGCAGCCCUGGCGGCGAGUGGCGAACGGGUGAGUAAUACAUCGGAACGUGCCCGGUCGUGGGGGAUAACGUAGCGAAAGUUACGCUAAUACCGCAUACGAUCUGAGGAUGAAAGCGGGGGACCUUCGGGCCUCGCGCGAUCGGAGCGGCCGAUGUCAGAUUAGGUAGUUGGUGGGGUAAAGGCCUACCAAGCCGACGAUCUGUAGCUGGUCUGAGAGGACGACCAGCCACACUGGGACUGAGACACGGCCCAGACUCCUACGGGAGGCAGCUGUGGGGAAUUUGGGACAAUGGGCGCAAGCCUGAUCCAGCCAUGCCGCGUGCAGGACGAAGGCCUUCGGGUUGUAAACUGCUUUUGUACGGAACGAAAAGGCUCUGGCUAAUACCUGGGGCUCAUGACGGUACCGUAAGAAUAAGCACCGGCUAACUACGUG